rnacentral:rRNA from 1 species
CCUACGGGAGGCAGCAGUGAGGAAUAUUGGUCAAUGGACGAGAGUCUGAACCAGCCAAGUAGCGUGAGGGAUGACUGCCCUAUGGGUUGUAAACUUCUUUUAUAAGGGAAUAAAACGAGGCACGUGUGCCUUUUUGCAUGUACUUUAUGAAUAAAGAUCGGGUAACUCCGUGCCAGCAGCCGCGGUUAUAAGGAGGAUCCGAGCGUUAUCCGGAUUUAUUGGGUUUAAAGGGAGCGGAGAGGGGUUGUUAAGUCAGGCGUGAAAGUUUGCGGCUCAAACGUAAACUUGCAAUUGAUACUGGCAGCCUUGAGUACAGUGGAGGUAGGCGGAAUUCGUGGUGUAGCGGUGAAAUGCUUAGAUAUCACGAAGAACCCCGAUUGCGAAGGCAGCUUACUAAACUGUGACUGACACUGAUGCACGAAAGUGUGGGUAUCAAACAGGAUUAGAUACCCUGGUAGUC